CGGCUGGUUCUUGAAGGCGGUAGGAGCCCGCAUGCGCUGUGGAGGGCGAGGGAGGUGCUCUUCUGAGCAUCCGGUUUCUCCCUUGCUAGAAGUCUUCCACCUGCGAGGAGGUCGCCCCGGGCCCCUGUUUCUCCGAAGACCGUCCCGAUCGAGGCAGGAGUGUGCAGCUCUCGCUGCAGAGCUCCACACCUGCAGGGAGCAGCUCAUGCAGAGGGAGGAGGAGAUCGCCAACCUGAAGGCGGAGAGAAACAACACCAGGCUGCUGCUGGAACAUUUGGAGUUCCUCGUCUCCAGGCACGAGAGAGCUCUUCAAAAAACCAUCAUCGGGCGACAGGUGCAGAGCCAGAUGAAAGAGCUCCUGGCUACCCUGUGCACUCUCAUGGCCAAGCUGGAAGAGGACCUAGACAUCUCAAGGAAAGACCUCAUCCUUUCUGAAGCAAUGAACACCAUAUUACAAAGAGAUGUCCGUGAAGCCAUGGCCCAGAAGGAAGACAUGCAAGACAGGAUCACUACCCUUGAGAAGCGCUGCCUCAGGGCACAGCACAAAGCCACCUCUCUGCACGACCUCAAGGAUAAACUUGAAAACGAGAUCGCAAAGAAGGACUCUCUGCAUCGACAGACUGCGGAUCAAAACCGCCAGUUGCAAGAGCGCCUGGAGGUGGCGGAGCGGAAGCUGCAGCAGACCCCGAGGAAGGCCAAGUCGCUGCCCGAGGUGGAAGCCGAGCCGGCCCAGAGGGUGGCCACCCUCUGCAAGGCCGAGCAGAGGCGUGGCAACAUCGAGGAAAGGCUGCGCCAGAUGGAGGCCCAGCUGGAGGAAAAGAACCAAGAACUGCAGCGGGUCAGGCAGAGAGAAAAACUGAAGGAAGAGACUAAUCAACAUCUGUCCGGCACUAUUGACCGGCUCCUUUCUGAAUCUGACGAGCGUCUUAAGCGUCAUCUAAAAGAGAGGAUGGCUGCUGCAGAAGAUAAGGAUCACCUUCUCCGGAAGAUGGAAGCACUGAGGGCCGUAUUAAAGCGGGCAAGAGUGAGAGGCUCUUCGCGUCACCAUGGGCGGACGCACGUCGGCAGCAUCCCAGCUUCCAGGUUCCGUCUGGCGGGCAGCCCCACGGAUGCCAGCAGCACCAGCAGCAGCGCGGUGUUGCGGCGCCACCGGAAAGGCCGUGUGGCCCGUCUGCGACAUGAGCCUUCCAAGUUGCUGCAUUUGGAGGAAGAGUCACAAGAUAGCACGGCAAGGGCACGAUGUGUACCGUCAGCUUCUUCGUCCCAGAGGUCCCUGAGCUUGGACAGGCUGCAGCAAGGGGCACUGCACAAGGCCAGCCACGAGGACAUCAGGGACGCCACAAAAUCCCCAGGCUCUCAGGAUGGCCCCUUGAGCAGCCUCAGCAAAAGUAACAAUAGCCAGGACUCACUGAACAACGCCCCCAAGAAGAAGGGCAUCACAAAAUCCAUCCGCUGGUUGCUCACCAGAAGACAAAAGGUCCACCCCAGCCGCGCUAGCGACGAGCCUGCAUGACCAGGGUGUGGAUGUGAUGGAGAGAGCUUUCGGCAGCCACCGUGGCCAUGGGUGUUUACUGUCGGCAGAGGUGCUGGUUUGGAGGAAGGACCCGGUGAUUCGCUGGGUCCUAUCGAUUGGCCUUAAAGAGGAUGCCAACAAUCGCGUAGACGGUGGAGUUCACGGCACGUUGAUGGCCUUAGAUGGGACCUUCGAUGUCACCGCCCUGGCGCUUCUGGUGCAGAUCCCGACCCAGAACACCCAGUUUACCCACACUGCUUCUACCGAUGGUCUUGCAGCACGCAGAGCCCAGCAGUGACUACAUUUGAAAAUUCAACCAGAUCUUUCAUCUGUUAAUCCUUGUUAUAUGGACCCUGAGAUAUUUCAUUACAGUAUUUAAUUACUGAAAAAUUUGUGAAUAGGAUCGAGAAACUCAUUUAGCAUUUAAUGUUUCGUACAUUUCUGUAAAUUUGUCACUCCCUAUAGAGAGUUCCUUCCUUUCAUGUAUAUCCAGGCUAUAAAUAUCCUUUGGAAUCCAUUGAUGUUCUUAUAUCUCAGUUUAGUCUUUCAAGCGUAUGUACUAUCAUGGUUGUAUGUAUAAAUCCUACGACAAAUACAGGGCUUUUAUAACCUGUGCAUGUAUUGUAAUUAUCAUUGUUUACUUUUUUGUUAAGAAACCCUGACAGAGAAAAGGAUUUUACCAUGUUUGUAAAAUCACCGUGACGUAGCCUGCAGUAUCCUUUAAGAAUGUCCUUUAGCUCUACAACCAUGGUUUUGAUAUAAUCAGACUUAAUUUGCAGCAAUUGUCAUUGUAUUUUAAUGACUCACCUUAACUACACUUUUUCUAGCAAGAAAUGCUUUCUUCUGCAGUGUGAACAGAUUAAAAAUAUCUGGUGUUAACUAUCAGCUAAAGAAACUUGGAGUGGAAAGCUGAUUGAAACACGGUGAAAAUCUCCCAGGGCCGGUAUGCUGUUUCUGAGCCUGGUCCCUGGGGGCCUGGGCAGUUUGCCUGGAGUGACCCGCACAACCUGGGAGCUGAGGCCCCAGAAAGCCUGGGUGGGGCAACCUGGCCACCUCUUCCCCGAAACCCUGCCCGCCCCCUUCUCCCCCCCAACCCGAACCUUAGACCCCUGGCAGCAGAACUCUCAGAGGACCAAUCAGGGUGCACUGGUCUCCCACCUCGGGCCAGGGCGCUGGGUGCUCAGCACAGAGCAAGAUGCAAGAUCCUGGAAACAAUGUAGCGCAACUCUAAUAAAGGCCUUAUUGUUCUUACGGAAA